GUGAUGAUGAGUGCUGUGAUGUAGGGUACCUCUUCAGGUGAGUUUGGUGAUUGUCACGACUGAGAGUAGGUGGUUAUGCCUUGAUGUUAAAUUCAAAUGGGCUAAACACAAAUGUGUAAGUGAAAAGAGAGAUAAGCAUGAGAAAAAUUAUGUGGUAUGGAAUAUUAGCCUAAUGUUCCUCAGUGUUGUUGGUGGAGUAUUGGGGUUCGUUGGCGCGCUUGCCUCGCGCUGACAGACUGCUUACGUCUGCACACAGCGAACCCGGACAAAAAUCGUAAAUACGUGCGUCGUAUCAGCUGUCAAAACGGUGGAGGCAAUGGCAGGCAUGAGAAUGUAAACGCAACAACGGCAUAACAACAGUCGGUGGAAUUUAUAUUUAGUAUGGCGAGGGCAGAAAAUGUCUCCCUUCACAAAAACAGCAGCACGAUACAACGUCAUUUCAGGAGAGCGAGGCGCGCACCAGAACGGAUUCAGUAGCUCGGCAUCUGCUUCUCCGGUGACCGACGGGCUCUAAAGCGAGAAUAUUAAUAUUAAUAUCAGCGCGAAGUGCGCCGUAUCUGUUUAUCUGCGGGCUCUGCAUUCAUUACCGUGAAGUCGUCUCGCUGUUGGUGUGCACUGACAGACUGCAUUUUUGAAUGGUUCUAUGGGCCUGCUUUGAACGGUUGUUUUUUUUUCUUCUUCGCUAACGUCGCAGUGAACUGCACCAUGGAUAGCGAAGCGCUUUCUCAUCGAGCUCCGCGCGGAGGGUGAAUGGGGAUGAGGAUGUUGUUUACAAAAAGCAGCCAGCCGUCAGCGAACUGAUGCUCGGUCUCCUCGCAUAUAUUUUUUCAUCUAAUCUUUUAUGACACAGUUGGAAAUUACUGUCACCUCCGUCUUUCCUCUUCGAAGAGGGCAAUGUCAUCAUCAGCAGACCGGCGUGGAUUUGUUGUUGUCUGAUUUUACUACUUGGCCUCUGCAAUUCGACUUCUCACCGUUUAUAUAACAGGGACGGGGAAAAGCUUUAAAAUCCCUCCCCCUGCU
rnacentral:lncRNA from 12 species